ACUAGUAUAUAUCAAUUCUAAAAGCGGCCACUGACGAUACGUCCAUUUAGUAGACUUCCUUUUGGAUGCACUCCAAAUGGAAAUUUAUCGAGAUACGGUACCAUUCACAAUACUUCCAUUUGGAUGCAUGGCGUCACUUCGAACUUUGCAAUCGUACGGAACGGAAAUAAAUUAUACUAUGGAUAACAAUACUUUACUGGUGGCAGCAGUUGUGUGUAUUUUAUUAA